rnacentral:tRNA from 1 species
AAAAAGGUAAGCUAAAUAUAAGCUACUGGGUUCAUACCCCAUCCAUGGGAAUUCAUAGCCCCCUUUUUA